GUUUGGCCCCUGACUCGACAGUGCUUGUCCAGUGAGUGUUUUACACAUUAUAUGGAACCCCAGGACCAGAGCCAGAGUCACAAAGUCAGGGGCAGUAUAUAGUGUGCAAUUAAUAGCCAAUGGAAUCUUCGGUAGCAAGCUAAGAACCUGCAGAGAAACCUCAAACCCAGCCUGCUGGAUGGUGCCAAGAUCCAGUAAGUAACACUUCCUAAGAGAAAACUCUUCCUGGGAGAAUUGCAGCCCAGUAAAUGGAUGCUCUCACGAUUCUCGGUGAAAUAACUCAUGGACCUUUUUCCUUGUGAACAGGGAACUUCAAAACAUCAUGGGGUGAGGUGAGAGCUCCUGUGAGAGAAGCACUCCUUUGAUAAAAGUCCCAGGGCUGUAAGAAGGUUCCUGUGAAGUGGAAAUGCCCAGUUGCAGAAGAGAGACACAGAAAGCGAAGGAUCACAGAGGCAAAAUACUAGUCUGAACUAAGAAGAAUUACAGGACGUCAAAAACAGACUCACCAUCAAGAGGAAGGAUACAAGCAGGCAGUGGGUCUUGAGAGGUAAAGGACCCAAAGUCUGGAGAAGUGAUGAACAUUAGCCCAAGACGACACAGCGACACAGUAAGCUCUGGAUAUGGACUCUCUCGCUUGGGGUUCCUCAACAUUGAUUACAUAAUACUGAUUGUGGUAGAUUGAAUGAGAAUGGCUUCUGUAACCUCAUGUGGUUCAACACUCACUCACCUAUCAGUGGAACUAUAUGGGAAGGAUUUGGAGGUGUGGCCUUGUUGGAGGCAGUAUUGCUUCUUACAAUGGGCUUUGUAGGUUCCAAAGGACCAUACAUUUCCCAGUGACCUCCCUCUGCCUUGCAACUGUGGAUAAGGUUUUAGCCCUCAGCUACUGCUCCAGCACCAUCUCUGUCUGCCUUGCUGCUGGGAUUCUCUCCACCAUGAUGGUCCUGGACUCUAAUCCUAUGGAACUGUAUUCCCCAAUAACUCUUCCUUCUAUAAAUUACCUUGGUUGUGUUGUCCCUUCACAGCAACAGAAAAGCGACUGACUCUGAUAAAAUAUCUACCUGCUGAUGUCCUGGCCACACCCCUGUCAGUUUAUUUAUUUGGAUAUAAGGAAAUGAGGAGUCCAUGCACCUUGCAUUUUAAACUGGAAGGUGGUUGACAUGUGCAGCCUACCACGGGAAUGAAUCUCUGGUAAACUAUUUCCAUCUCCUGUCCCAUAGCCUUGGACUCCCCCAUUUACCAUGCUGGAGCUGCUUCUGCCUGAGACCUGGAGGACAAUUUAUUAGACCUUCAGAGGGAC
rnacentral:lncRNA from 1 species